rnacentral:rRNA from 1 species
GACUCUCGGCAACGGAUAUCUCGGCUCUCGCAUCGAUGAAGACGUAGCGAAAUGCGAUACUUGGUGUGAAUUGCAGAAUCCCGUGAACCAUCGAGUCUUUGAACGCAAGUUGCGCCCGAGGCCUCUUGGUCGAGGGCACGUCUGCCUGGGUGUCA